GUUUAUAUCUCUUUAUGUGUAUGUGUGUAUGUGUAUGUGUAUGUGUGUGUGUGUCUGUCUGUCUGUGCCAGGGCACACAUGCAAAGUCAGAGGGCAGCUCUCUGGAGCGGGUCUCUUCUCCCCUGUGCACUGAACUCAGGUUGUCAGGCAUGGCCACUUUUAGCCACUGAGCCAUCUCCCUGGUCCAGGGCAAUGAAUAUGACUCUGCCUUCAGAGUGUGUUGGCUGACUCCUACCACUCCAAUAGUCACUAUCUUCUCUUCCUUCCUUUCUCUUGCACUUGACUGAAGUGUUCUACCUCUGACCCACAUCCUGGGCAAUCCAACUAUAUCUCUUAGGUGGUUCUUUACCAUCAUCUCCUCUCUCGUCUCUGUUCUGUGGCUCCAGACAAACUGCAGUUUCUACACAGCAACCAAGGUAAGCCUGUUAAACAUAAAUCAGAUCAUGACCUCAUAAGCCUCCAUGCCAGCAUGCUCUGCAUUGAUGGGUUUGUGCAACCACUGAUACAAAGUGCUUGGGGAAGCAUCUCAUUUGUAGGGGACACAGGCAGGUGUUAUUCCUCUGUUAUCCCUUAAGGAUGACCACAACACCUGAUGGGGACUAUUCAAGAAAGCAAAGGGUUUUUAUCUUGGCUCAUCAUUUCAGAGGUUUCUGCCCAUCCUGGAGCAAGCAGAUCAGUCCACUGUGGCAGAGGCAUGGUGCACAGAACUUAUCCUACUUGUUUCUAAUGAAAAAGAAACACACAGUAUCAGCUGCAUUUACCAUGGUUCCCAACAUGUCUUUGAAGAGUUAUUCCUUGGACAUACCCACAUCUUGAUGUCAGAAUCUAUAGUUUGUCAUGAGUUCGAAUCAUGCCUUAUUGUUGGUACUGCAAGUGGCUAGGCAGACACAAACACCGUGUCUUCCAGAGCCAUUGAAAAUGUGACACUGCCCUCACUGUUUGGUCCUGACACAGGGUGAAUGGAAAGAAGAUUGCAAAUGGAGACCUUCUUAGCUUCACUGGUCCUACAUCCAGGCUUAGCCCAUCAAGCAAGGCCCAGCUGCCUUCCUAGUUACAGGGCCGUGAGGCUGCGCUCUGUGCUGAUCCCUUUUCCACUGGCUACACAUGAUCUUCUGCCCACUCCUCUGGAUCAGUACCAACAAUUGUAGAAAGGGAGGAAGCUCCUGUCAUUGGCUGUGUCUGCUCUGUUGACUCCCGCAUCCAAGCCCAGAUUUUCUCCUGGAGAGAGGUCUCUUGGAUAUGGUGUCUCUCUGGAGAUAGAACUCUGAGUCCAGAGUCACAGAAAAGCAGCCGAGCAUCCUUCUUGCUCUUGCCCCACUCAGAUACUUUGUAUCCACCAGUGGCUCUGGCACUGGCUCUGGCUCCUGGAAGUCUUAGCCUCCACACUGGCUGCUCUUCCCUGUUCUAUGAAUCUCUUUGUUUGGCUUGUCAACAACCACCUUUCAGAAGCCAGACUGGGUGUUCCAGUGUUGCUGACAACCUAAACUAUUUCUGUGGCCUCUUCUGAAGUCAAGCUGAUGGCUUUCCUUCCGGGGUGUCCCGGGUGGUGUUCCGCAGUAGCUCAACCUCACUGCUGGUUCUGUGGAUGGAGAAGUGUGGCCGGAAUGCGAAUCAAUGCACACUUCUUUUCAUCAACAAAGAAUGCUUUUGAGUUUCAACUGAGCCAUAUGAGUACAUAGCUGUGUGGUAAAUUACAUUCCCGCACUGAGUUCUAAGUCUGAGGACAAGGGCCAGUGGGUCACAGGAAAGUGACAUUGGGCUAAAUCCUGCUAGGGGGCAAUGAAAGGACUGCUUGCCCACUUUGACUGUUUAAGGGAAGACAGAGGGAACGGAAAGAGGAAACUUUCCUGCAUCAGGAAGACGCUUCGAGUCUGUGUGAAAUAAACCAUUUUCUUUUUAAUCAUAAGGGAAUAAUUUUUCCCUCUUAACCAUCAGUGUUGCCGCUUUGAAGUCAAAGCCUGUGCAAGAGCAAUUUGCACAGAAUUAUACUCUAGGAAACUGUCUAAUCACUCGCAGGGCUGGCCUGUUUCUAAUGCAGAAGGGCCUUGUUGCCUGGAGUGAAUCAUAUGCUGAAGAAAACUUUACAAAAUAACUGAAUAGAAGACUAAUGUGAAUGUAGGCAGCAGCAUGAGCCAGCUUUUCUGCCCCUGCUGUUCUUAUGAGCAAGCUCGGGUGUAUCCGAGAAUGCUUGUACAGUUGGGGCCCUCUGGUUGAAAGAAGAACCCUUCGAUUUAUGGGAUCUGUCUGGUGGAGUCUCAGCAGUGUCCUGUCAGGUACAUUGAGGCAUAAGCUGAGGACCAGAACAUUUUUGCUGUUAUUGGUGGUGGUGGUGUUUGUUUUGUUUUGUUUUGGCUUUUUUUUUUUUUUUUUGAAAAAUGAAACCAGAGAUGGGACUGGCUUUGAUUUAAUUAAAUCAAAGAUCUUUAGUUGACAGUUUGCAGGGUCCAUAACACUGUAUGGGGUGCACACAUAUGAACAAAGAGAUUAAAUUCAUCAUCAUGAUUAGAAAUGCAGAUAAAAACCCACAAGAGAAGAAUUUGGCCAACAAAAUGAGACAAAUUCUAUAAACACCCAAAAUACAUCUCCUCCAAAGUCUGCAAAUAAAGGUGUCAGCUUGUUUGACUUCUCCAGGAAGAGUUUCCUUUAAAGUGUUGCAAACAGCGCAGCAGCAAGGAGCAUCUGCUCAAAAGAAGGCCAGCGGUGAUGGCGCUGUGGGUCACCCCUCAGUGCCUCUGCAUCUUCAGGUGUUUCAUUAAAACCCUACUAACUGGUUAAGACUAGAAUGCAGCACGGUGUCGGUCACAGGAGAUUAUCCACAGGCUCCACGUGGACCCAAAGACACAGAGUCCCCAUGUGUGGCUGUCAGAGUGCUCACUGUCCAGAUGGCCUGGAUACAUUGUGUUUCAUGAUGUAGCUGCCCCAAGGACCACAGAGGAUAGGCAUGAAAGAUAAGCUAUCCACAAUGAAAUCUUUAAAACACGGAAAAGAGAAAUGGAUGAAGACACAAGAGGAUGAGAAGAUGGCUAUGCACAUGGACCAGAAGGAUCAGUAUUGUGGAAAUGGUAAUUUUACCCAAAGAAGUCUAUAGGUUCGAUGCCACCCAAAUCAAAAUCCUGAUGCAGUUUUUCCAUGGAAACAGAAACCAUGACUUUAGAGCUCAUAUUGAAGCUCAAAAGACCCCAGAGAACUAAAGCAAUCCUGACCAGUAAAAGCAUAGCUGGAGGUAUCUAUUUCAAUAAACUAUUUUGGAAAUUGUUUGAAGAGAACCAGUGAAAGAUGGGCUCUGUAUCCAAGGUUCCACACAGCUGAAACCUGCAUCUGGGUGUUCGCAAUGCCACUUUAGACUGCUGGUGGAGUAGGGCUGAAGUAGGCAAGGCCAGGCCAAAUGUGUGUUGGGACAGAGGGAGGUGGAGAAGCCAACGGGCUUCCACUGGCAUCUCCAGACAUCUUAUAUGUUCAUGACAUCAUCCCUUCCCGGGGCAUACCAGAAGACAGAUAGCCGUUGUCUUUUCAGACAGGAAGGGCUCACCCUGACUUCCAGCCACUGUGCAGACCCUGGCUGGCUAUUCCAGCUUCAGUGAGCAACUCUGCAGCCUCCCUGUAUCAGAGCUGAGCUUUCAGUCCAUAGCGUCUGUUGAGUGUGGCUUCUCUUCUUGACUCCCCUCAUAACACAGCUGAGCACACGGAAACCUUCAGCAGGUCACAGAGAAGAAUGGCCUGCUAAGCAUGUAGCCGCAAUGACUCACUAACAUGCACUUCAUACAUGCAUAAAGUUUACUAAUAUACACUUUGUAGGCUGCUCCUCAAGACCUGCAAUUUGAGGGUUCACAGCUUUAAAACUUCACAGUUUUUCAGUCUCAGAGGGCUUGAUUCAUGGCCUAAGUUGUUGUUUUUGUUGUUGUUGUUGUUUCCUUACUAACUCUCAGAAAAUGUGUAUUUUCAGGCCACAUUUCAAGUCCCAAUGUCCUAAGGGACAUAAGAGGGAAUUGGUCCCACCCCCUGUAGUAAGGGUGAGAUGGGCAUCUUGAUCUAUAAAAGGAAAAUGUCAACUAUUGAAGGAAAAGAAUGACAUUUGUUAAAGCACAGAAUGAAGGCUUUUAUUCAGGACCAGGAAACAAGGCAGGGGAAACUGUUGGGGAAGUUCGAGUUCCUAGAGGAGGCUAUGGGGGAUUGCUACCAUACACUGUGCGUCGUCUGGUUCAGUCUUCACACGGUAUUUCUGAAUAAACACCUGUACGCGCAUAGCCAAGUGUUUGCUGGAUACCUUCCCACUCUUUCUAUUGUCUUUUUACAAAGAUCCUCUUCCUGGCCAAGUGUCCAUCCAGCUGCUGACCCUCCUUCCAGUCUGACCUGUACACUUUCUUGUCUUACCCACUUUCCACACAGAUCACAGGUAAGUUAUUUAACAAGAACCCCAUCCUGGAUAUCACAGCAUUCUGGAUAUGGAACUGGGCUCAUCACCCUGCACAGGAUGCCUACCCACCCUAGGCGGUAAGAAUCCUAUGAGGUCUGUUUAGCUAUGAUCCUUCCUAGCCCAUUUCCCUUUAGCAACAUUGUAUUCUUUAACCCUUCCUAGCCCCUGUAUUUCCUUUUAGCAACAUUGUAUCUUUUAUCCCAUCCCUUGUAAGUGCCUUCCUGCACCCUAGUGGCACUGAGCCCCAUCUCCCUCACUGCAAACCCUUUGGCUAGUUUUCCCUAUGCCUGCCAUCAUGGUCUCUAACACUUACUUUCCACUCCACACUUUCAAAAACAGUGUUGGGGUUUGUCUCUCUUCAAACAGCCUGUAGUUUUCCAGAAGCAAUAAAACGUACCGCAUCUUACCUUCACACCAGGGCAUGGGCUAAUGCUCUCCUCUUCUGCCCCUUAGAAUCUUGAGCUCAAUACAUGCCUUAUAAAUCUGCAUUGCUUGGGAGCUGGUUGCAGAAUCUUUGGCCCUACCUCCUCAUAUUCUGAAUCAGAAGCUGCAUUUUAUAAGAUACUUGGCUGUUUUUCAGGCAUGCUGCAAUCUGAGAAGCCCGCCCUGGGAGAUGACGCCAGUGUGCUGAGAGCCAACAAGAAGAAAGUCAUUGUGAGUCUGUUUCGAACGCCAGUGAUGUACAUCAAUCACAGCCCUGACAGCAUGAUGCUCCACGGGUUGAGAAGAUUGCAUCUCCAGGGAAAACAGACAAGAGGCGUGUGCUGAGGUCGUCCUUCCGCACCAGACAAACUUGGAACGAAAAAGUGCACAUAACACUUCCUAAAGUAAGGGGCAUUUUAAAGAGCCUAUCCGUGCGGGCAUGCUUGAAAAUUACACGCCAAAGCAUUGCAGUGGUAAGCAAAGGGCACGAAGCUCAGUGCAGACUGGCACGCAUCGGUUAAGCAGAACAUGCGAGUGUACAAGCGUGGGAGGGGGAGGAUGAGGGGAAGUAUCGUGGACAGAAUCCUCAGAAGAAGGUUGCUCCCAACGCUGUUGUUUGCAAGUGCACGCAGAAUUUGAAUCUGCUCCCAGAGAACAUCCUGCAGCUCUCAGGUGCGUCGCUGCUAUUUGUACGGAUGUUCAGGUGGGAAUGCACCCGGUUGGCAUGGGUGAGGGCAGUGGGGGCAUGAGGCAUCGCAGGCCACAGUUAGUAAAGCAAGCUUGUACACAGGGAGAAGAAAAGGAAACAAUGUCCGCUGCUGCUGCUUCUUCUUCUUCUUCUUCUUCUUCUUCUUCUUCUUCUUCUUCUUCUUCUUCUUCUUCUUCUUCUUCUUCCCUUUUUAAAAAGUCAGAUACUUUCUUUAUUUACAGUUCAAAUGUUAGCCCCUUUCCUUGUUUUUCCUCCGAAAACCCCCUCCCCCUGCUCGCCAAUCCACCCACUCCCACUUCCUGGUCCUGGCAUUCCCCUACACUGGGGCAUAGAGCCUUUCCAGGACCAAGGGCCUCUCCUCCCAUUGAUGACCUACUAGGUUAUCCUCUGCUACAUAUGCAGCUGGAGUCAUGAAUUCCACCAUGUGAACUCUUAGGUUGGUGGUUUAGUCCCUGGGAGCUAUGUGGGGUACUGGUUAGUUCAUAUUGUUGUUCCUCCUAUAGGGAUGCAAACCCCUUCAGCUCCUUGGGUUUUCUCUAGCUCCCCCAUUGGGAACUCUGUGCUCAGUCCAAUGGUUGGCUGUGAGCAUCCACCUUUGUAUUUAUUAGGCAGUGGUAGAACCUCUCAUGAGACAGCUAUAACAGGUGUCUAUCAACAGGCACUUGGCAUCCACAGUAGUGUCUGGGUUUGGUGACUGUAUAUGGGAUGGAUCUCCAGGUGGGGCAGUCUCUGGAUGGUCAUUCCUUCAGUCUCUGUUCCACACUUUGUCUCUAUAACUCCUUCCAUGGGUAUUUUGUUCCCCCUUCUAGGAAGGACCAAAGUAUCCACACUUUGGUCUUCCUUCUUCUCGAGUCUCAUGUGGUCUGUGAAUUGUAUCUUGGGUAUUCCGAGCUUCUGGGCUAAUAUCCACUUAUCAGUGAGUGCAUACCAUGUGUGUUCUUUUGUGAUUGGGUUACCUCACUCAGGAUGAUAUUUUCUAGUUCCAUCCACUUGCCUAUGAAUUUCAUGAAUUCAUUGUUUUUAAUAGCUGAGUAGUAAUCCAUUGUUUUGAUUUACAUUUCCUGAUGACUAAGGAUGUUGAACAUUUCUUUAGGUGCUUCUCAGCCAUUUGAAUUCCUCAGUUGAGAAUUCUUUGUUUAGCUCUGUACCCCAUUUUUAAUAUGGUUAUUUGGUUGUCUGGAGUCUAACUUCUUGAGUUCUUUAGAUAUAAAAUUAACUCAAACAAAUUAGUGGCCUUCCUCUACAAAAAUUAUAAGCAGGCUGAGAAAGACAUUAGGGAAGCAACACCCUUCACAAUAGUCACAAAUAAUAUAAAAUACCUUGGUGUGACUCUAACCAAGUAAGUGAAAGAUCUGUAUGACAAGAACUUCAAGUCUCUGAAGAAAGAAAUUGAAGAAGAUCUCAGAAGAUGGAAAUAUCUCCCAUGCUCAUGGAUUGGUAGGGUUAAUAUGGUAAAAAUGGCCAUCUUGCCAAAAGCAAUCUACAGAUUCAAUGCAGUCCCCAUCAAAAUUCCAACUCAAUUCUUCACAGAGUUAGAAAGAGCAAUUUGCAAAUUCAUCUGGGAAAAAAAAAAAACCUAGGAUAGCCAAAACUAUUCUCAGCAAUAAAAGAACCUCUGGUGGAAUCACCAUCCCUGACCUCAAGCUGUACUACAGAGCAAUUGUGAUAAAACCUGCAUGAUAUUGGUACAGUGACAGGCAGGUAGAUCAAUGGAAUAGAAUUGAAGAAAUGAACCCACACACCUAUGGCCACUUGAUCUUUGACAAAGGAGCUAAAAUGAUCCAGUGGAAAAAAUACAGCAUUUUCAACAAAUGGUGCUGGCUCAAUUGGCAGUUAUCAUGAAAAGAAUGCAAAUUGAUCCAUUCUUAUAUCCUUGUACAAAAUUAAAGUACAAGUGGAUCAAGAACCUCUACAUAAAACAAGACACACUGAAGCUAAUAAAAGAGAAAGUGGGGAAGAGCCUCGAGCACAUGGGCACAGGGGAACGUUUCCUGAACAGAACACCAAUGGCUUAUGCUCUAAGAUCAAAAAUUGACAAAUGGGGCCUCAUAAAAUCACAAAGCUUCUGUAAGACAAAGGACACCGUCAAUAGGACAAAUGGCAACCAACAGAUUGGGCAAAGAUCUUUACCAAUUCUCUAUCUGAUAGUGUGCUAAUAUCCAAUAUAUACAAAGAACUCAAGAAGUUAGAUUCCAGAGAACCAAUUUCUGCUUCCUAAUGGGAGAUAAUUUUGAACUUCUUUCUUUCUCAUUCAUCACAUAGGCACUUGAGUGACUGAUUUGUCAGCUCCUGUCACCUGACCAUGGGCUACCUUCAGAAGACUAGACCAGCUAGACAGUCAUGGACCACCAAUGAGAAAGUCACACAGUGUUCUUUCCCUUUUCUAUCUCUGGGGCCCAGCCAUAAGCUUUUCAUGCCCAUAAGGAAAGCUCGAAGCUCCCGGGGUGCUGUGAGGACCAGGGUACUGGGACCAGCUCAAACCUAGGCAUUGCAGUGAUCUGCCUGGUUCUAAUAAGAUGCAAUACAUGAGAAACAGGUACAGGCUUAGACUUCAGGCUCUUUCUGGACCUCAUCACAGUUCCCUGAUUCACAGGAGGACACUCUGACUACAUUUGUGAGUGACUUCUCUAGCUGUGUGCCAAGCCUUUCAGCAGCGCUCAUUUCAGAACAUUCAAUUUCCUCUUACUUUCUGUCAGUUGUCUCCCUUUGAAUUCUGAUUUAUUUUACACACCCCUAUAAACUGUCUUAAUUGUCUUUGAAACAGAGACCAGAGUAGAGAAGGCUCAGUCUGCCUGUCUUUAUGUGGGUGUGGAAUGUGGGUUGUGUAGAAAGCAUUUGGCCUCAGUGAAACGGGAGAUGUUCUCAGAACCCAUGGAUGUCAAUGGCCAUCAUGUUGUGAGCUCUCACGGACAGAUCUAGACCCCUUUUGCACUGGGCAGGGUUGAGUGCUGCUGGUCCCUCAUUUGUAACUCCUUUACUGUCACCAAGUGAAGGAAAAUGUCCAGAAAGUGAAGAACAUUCUGUUUCUUGGAAGUAACAAAGGUCUAGCUCAGUUCCCAGAGUGAGGUUCCCAGACAAGAGGCUCGAUGUCAUCUGAACAUCGGGGAAAGCAGAAUUCUCUGACCCACCCUGCAAGAAGCUUGGGUGCUGAAGACUGAUUUUCAAUCAAGCAUCCCAUGAUCGUGAGUUUGUGCAAGCCUGAGAACCUAUUGACUUGACUCAAAGUGGUGAGAGCGUUUUCCCAUGAACCACUCUACUUGCUGUGCGUUUUUAUUGAGGUGGGAACAGCUGUCUCUUAUUUAUAGAUUUAUCUCUUAUUUAUAGACUGUCAUCACACAGAUUUAUCUGCUUCUCAGGCAAAUUCCACGGAAAGGUUCACAGAAGCAAGAUUUGGAGCAUUUUGGCUCUCUUGGCCAUCAUAACUAAUGGGAGCCUGAUUUUACUUAAAUUUUCCCCAAAUUUGUAAAUCAUCCACCUCUAAAGCAGCCAAGUGAGAUAUUUAUAGUAUAAGGAAACUAGCCACAGAACAGAUUUCCAAAAAUCUGCAGUUUGCAUCAGCACGCUGCAGAAAAAAAGAAAAAAAAAAGUAAAGCCUCAUAUGUUGCCGGAGAACGAAAGAAGAAAUGAAAGAAAGGGCAGAGAACUUCUGAAAAUGAGAUGUUUGAGAUAGUCAAGCUUGGAAAGACAGAAACCCAGACCGCCUGUUCAAGUCAAAAUGGUAGCAACGGCUGUCAUCCAGCAACAGCUGAAGGAAGCGUUUAGAUAUAUGUAUUACAUACUGAUGUGAGAGGGUAACACGGUGGUAGGGUUCCCACCCCAUCACAUCUAAUGGGACUCUUUUAAUAUUUGAUAUAUAGGAGCUCGGAUCAUGGAUGGAUCUUCAGUGUUACAGCCAAUGCACAGAACACAGCUGUGACAAGUAUCUGUCUCAGUGGUCCUGGCUGACAAGGAGCCACUUAAUUGCAUUUACAACCAAAGAGAGGGCAUGGAGUUGAGUCCAGAAGUCACCUAGAAGAAAUUCAGACUCAGGACUGCUUGCUUGUGAUUUAUUUCUACCCGAAGUUCCCAGUUGCUAUUAAAAUAAUGUCAAGGACAUAAUGAUGGCUCUAAUAAGACGUCAAUCGUGGUCCUGAUGAUGGGCUGGUGCCUGAAGUAAUGAGACAUCAGGGAAAAGCACAUCGUGUGCUCUCCUGCACCGUUAAAGGGACUCUGGGCAAAUGGAGACUUCACUACAAUUUCCCUCAGAUGCGCCAGACAUUUGCUCUUUGGCUAAAAGCUCUCCAGUUAGCAGAAUCAGAACUGAAACUCCCACACCUGAGGAAAGAAGAGAGCGCCCACAGAUCCUGCUUUCAAGCGGGUUACCACCGAUGCUCACCACCAUUAACAAGGUGGCUAUCCAGAAGGGAAGCAGGGCUCUGAGUGUGUACCUAGCAGACAGUCAUAAAGGACAAAGUGCUCGACAGACAACUCUACUCCACUCCUAACUAAAUCCCCAAGGGGACCUCUUUGCAUUCCAUUACCAGGUUUUUCCUGAUUCCACCUACAUCUAAUUAAGUCCUUAAAAGUCACUUUGGAGACCUAAACUACAGGUCUGCAUGGGGACCUCUUUAGUGUGAGCUCCCAUUGCUAUCCAUCCCUCUGCCCGGAGCUAUGAUAAAAGCUAUCUCAAAAUGCACCCUUCUCCAGGUCAUUUGUUUCUCUUUGCUGGGAACUUGCAGUUGAGUGACACUGUUCCACCACUCAGCGUAUGUCUGAAACAGCCGAGAAAGUCCCAGUGCUGUGGGUUGUGGACCCCCACAGGAUACGUUUACCGAGUGUCAAUUCACUCUACCGGCUUCCCUCGUCAGCUAUGUGAAGAGAACAUUCUCCCUGCCCCUUACAAACUGUUUGGAUUUAGUUAUUGUCUUCUCUUCCUUAAGUAAAUAAAAAGGUGAAGGAAACCAUAGAGGGCACUGGAUCCCCCCAAAGCCAGAAGGGUCAGAAAGGAAAAGCUUGCAAGAUUGAAAACUAGAUUUGAUGCUACCUUUUCUAUAGCACCCUCUGGUGCCCCUGUGAGCACCUCUCCCUUCACCACCAUCACCUUGGCCCAGGGUGUUUUCAAAAGGUUAAGAGACGUAUACAUGCAAGUUCAGAUAUCUGGCAGAUAACAGGACCACAGCUUCGAUGGGGUUUUAGAUUAUUAAUUUCAUCUACUUUCCAAGCAGAUUUAGAAGAGGACUUGUGACCAUUGCUGACGUUUUGAGGGUAACGUGGGAGAUUAUUUUUCUACACUGAUUUACAAAGCCCAUGCUGGAUUCAUGCCCCCUACAUCUUUAAUUAAUAAGAUGUCAACCUUCCAGAGAUACCGGAAGGAAUUUCAUAGGCCAGAGGGAGGGGAAGCAUAGAACGUCACUGGAGUAACCGUAAGGCAAGACGUCUAAGGGGAAAUUGUUCUAAUCCUGGUGACAAGAUGGGUUGCCUCCACUUAUCAAGAUCAGCUUAGGAAUGGGCCCCUGACAUCAUUGUAACUGACUUUCUGAGAAUACAGGGCCCCAAAGCUUGGGUGCUAUCAGGUGGGACCCGAUCUCUCUGAUUCUCAGAACAACUUACAACAACAACAACAGCUACUACUACAGAAAUAAACGUGGCUCUUGCCCAGUAGAAACGUAGGCAGAGUUUGCUGUAUUUUCCCUUUUGAAUUUCAGAGUUGCCGUUAUGACAUGUGGCGAAGCUCAAGAGUGGAGCUCUAUGCUUCUUUAAUACCAUGCUUUAGACAUCAACAGGAAUGCUCAGAAUAAAGGCUUGUUUUCCGUC